AGCUCUUUCUGCUAAUCAAAGGAGAAACCAAAUUAAACGAAUGAAGUCCAAGAAAAAUACAACUCUAUUGUUUUGGGGGCAUAAGAUGCUGGCUUGGAGGCUUCGUUGAGUAAUCUCAGUCACACCCUUUCUCUGUGGGACUGAAGGAAUGUUGGCUGUUUUUCUGGAGGCCAGGUGGGAGGUGGGUAGACAGGUCUAUGGAGAUGAGAAUUUCUUGGAGCUAGAACUCUCUGAACAUCCCUGUGGCCUUGCAGCUGGGAGGCUGGGACAAAAAGAAGCAGGAAUGUGGUGCCGAAUUAGAGCCAGGACGCAGCGACCCCAGUAAAGGAUCUGGGAGCAGAAAAAGGUGGAAGAAAACUAGGAAACACGGAGAGAAAUGACCCUGUUCUUUUUGGCCACAUCUGAACAGGGGCUUCUGUGUCCUCAAGAGCCCCUUGGCUCCCUUUCAUUAAACCUUAGGGCGGAUGCCCAGGGAGAGGUGGCGUGUCUGAGUCUGGGGUGCGACGGGAAGCAGGAAGUACCAGUCAUUUCACAAGAAGCCUUGACACUGGAGAGAGAGCCAGUGAAAACUGGCAGACCCCCAAGGUGGGGUAGGAAAGUCUGGCCCAGUGUAAAGAACACUUGGCUUCACAUAAUUCUGUGGGUAUAUUAAAAAACAGGGCAGUCCACAAAGUUGUUCUGCCAGCCCACCUAAAACAUCACUUUCUCUUCCCCAUCCUUGAUUGUUUCUCUACGAUGACAUGUCAGCUGCUGGUGGUAAACUUCCAUGGCUCAAGGAAGGAUUAACGUGACCAGAUGUCUUGGCAGGAUAGUCCUUCCCAAUAGCAAGUUCUUGAAUAUAAUUCUCAUGAAUGUAUGUAGGCUUUUGGUGGACUCUGCUACCUUAUUUCAUCCCUCCUUCCACCCCACUCUUUCUCCUUCUCUUUAGAUUUUAGCAAGAAUCCUAAUUGUGUAGAUACAGCUCUGGAAUCAUCUGCAGCUCUACUUUUGGGAGAGCUAUACUGUUCAAUCAGCCGGUGGUCCGUUUCCUUCUGAACAUGUCCAUCACUUUUCUAGAUCCUUGUCUCUUUCCUGGGCUGGGGACCCCUCACCCAAACUCCAGCUCCAGCUCACUAAACUCUAACUUAUCUUCUUCAACUACUAAUGGCAAAGAUUCAGAAUAUGCUCCUUCUUUUUCAUCUUGGAUGUAAAAUUUACCAGAUUUAUCAACGAUGUCCUAUCUUGGUGUGUCUGAAACUGUAUCCCUUUGAAAAAGACAAUUUCAUUGGGGUGCUUUCAAUUUUUUGCAAAACUCUUGUUCACAGUUGGGUUUGUUUCAGUCCUCACAUCUCUGGAUUUAUGCCAAUGGGUAUUAUUACUUAUCUUCUGCACAACAGCACUCUGGUUUGAGAACUCUUGGGUUCUCUCUCUUUUUUUGAUCAACUUGCUAUGUGACUUUAGAAAAGCUAUAUCACAUCUCUGGGCCUUAGUUGUACCUCUUACUCAAAGGUAUUUCUUCAGCAAAAAUUAAUGUCUACUCACUCUUUCUUUUGCCUUUCCCAAGGCUGGGAGGCUUACCCUGGAACUCUCUGACAUCAUCCCUGAUGGAGGAGUCUGGGUAGAGUGAGUUUGAAGGCACUUAGGAUGAAGCAAGAGUUGGAAGCAGUCACGAGUGUUUUGGGCUGAAAGAUGGCAGUCUGUUUGCCUUUAAGGAAUCCCAUGCCUUACCUAGAAUCAAAGAAGAGCUAAUCAUCGAUGGGGCUUUAGCCCCAGAACUUUCAGGGUUUGAAUUUGUAUGGCAGCCACCAUGGAAAAUAUCUUUGAGCUAAACAGAUGAGGGAUGAACCAGUCUGGAAAUAUUUCCACAAUGUCAAUAGCCAUGUUUACAGUAGAGCAUAUGGACAGAGUUUAGAUUUGAUAAAUUUCCAUCUCUUUUUAAAAAAAGAUGAUCCAGCCAACAAAAGGUAUACCUUGACAAGUGCUCUUUUCUGAAUUCUAUUUGUCUGAUAUGGCAUAGAAGUACCCAACUAUGGCAUUUUAACAUUUUCCAGUUCCUUACCACAACCAUACCAUCCCGUGUUCUCAAUUAAAAAUCUGAGCACUCAAAGUAGUGCUUUGCAGAAGAGUCUUUGCCAGCUAUCCAGAAAACAAUUCAGCUAUCCAGAAAACUGUCAGUUUGAGGGUGACACUCUUAGUAUUGGGGUACAGUAAUGGCCUCAACUAAGAAUGGAGCAUAGGAAGCCAGGGCGGUGAGAAGGACUUAUUGUUGGCUAUGAUCUUAGCUAUAAUUGGGAGCUAAUUGGAUGCCUUCUCUAAAAAUACUACUACUGCUAAUAAUAAUAAUAAUCCUUGAAUUAUUUGCUGAAAAGCCACUGCAAGUAAAAGCUUUUCACUAAACGUGCCAUGUUCACUGUUGCUCAUUUCACAAUGGCAUCACAAGGUGGCCAACCUGCGUUUCCAGCCCGAUUCUCUACAAUGGGAGAUAACAGUAGGGCCCCUCUCAGGAGGGCACUGUGAGCAUUUGAGCUAGUGGGUGUCAUGUGGAAGAGUUCCUGGUGUCCAAUAAAUACUCAGCGUAGGUUAAUUGAGUAAGCUCUAUGCCCACAAUAAGUAGAGGGCAAGCUGAGGCUCAGAACAAUAAAAUAACACAUCCAAGGUCACAUAGUGGUAAGUGAAAGAAUUGAGAUUGAAACCCAGGUUUGUCUGUAACUGUAACCUGGCUCUUCUCAUUUCCGAAAGACGAUGGUGAGAAGCCCUGGAGAGCAACUUGAAUGACCACCGAGUCCUGAUUUCCCAUGUCACAGGUUUCCCGUGACAAGUCUCUUGAAAAAUGUGGCUUGGAGAAAAGGAUAAGAAUACAAGAGCCAUGCAGGAGAGAGUAAUAACUUACAAAUAUGUCUCAUGAUUGGUUACUGUAUGAUCUUUUCAAAUUUUCUGGAUAUUUGAAAUGUUCAUAAGAAAUUGUUGGAAAAAAAUAUGGCACAAUGGAAGGAAAAUGAGGCUUAUGCUGAAGACAAGAGGGCCUUUGCUCAGCAACCCAAACUGUAAUCUCAGCAUUUUCUAGAGGUGAGAAGGGUAGUGGCCUGAAGCUCUGAGCACCUUUUCGGGGGGCCUGGUCUCUGAGAGUUGCUCAGCGUGAUUCAGAGGAUAUCUGCCGUAGGUGGAAGAUAGGUUCUCAGGAACAAAAAGCUUCUUUUCCCAAAACAUUGCUGAUCUGUAGAUUACAUAAUGUAGAGUUAUGUGUCUGCUGGGAGGUUGGCAGGAGCCUGAACAUGAUAUGUUGAUAAUACAUGGAGUCUUGCAUGCAAACUUUGUUUAUGUGCUGGGCCCUCCCUCCGAGUCUGGGGCAGGUAGCUGGCUGCACAGCCUCCAUCAGAGCCUGGAAGAGUCAGUAUUUUAUGGACACUCAUGUUUAUUUUGCUGUCUAACUAUGCUAGCCAAUGUGAGUUUGGUUAAAGCAAAGCACUGUAGAGAGAUGGAGAAAGCAUCCUUUGAUACAGAGGCAACUGCACUUCCAUAUGUAUCUUCCUUGUCAGAUGGCAUCCCUGUGCGUGGAGGAGGGCCCACCCAUGGUCCGAAAGGAGACGAGAACCCUACUUUGAUGCUUUAUCUAGUUGCCUAAAAACUUUGUUUUUAUGUGAAUGCUCAUAAAUAUUUAACCAAGUUUUGUGUCAAAGUUGGCUGUUGUCUUCUGAGAACUGAGAACUGGCAUUCCAUCUUUGAAGGGAUAGCAGAAAGACACAGCGGCAGAAAGUCUGCCACUUCCAAGCCAUCAGAUCUGAGUGGGAAAAGAGACCAGCCCUUCUCAAGAAGCCUUCGCCAUCGCAGCCAAAAGGGAGCUCAGGCCUCAGGUUGAGGCAGGUUCCCAUGAAACAGCCAAAUGUUUGCAAAACAAGCACCAGGAUGAAGAAGCUCAGUCUGCAGAGACAUCCCAAGGUUGCGACAGUCUUGGAAGAUGUGAGAGUGAGCUGAUGGAAGAGCCCUGGGGAGCCAAGGCUGGGAGGCAGACCUGCCUGGGAAAAGCAUGGUCCCCCGUGCUCCCUGCCUGGGACGCAGUGUGCUGAGCAAGGAAGGGCUAACUGGCUGAGAUAAUUGUCCAGUGUUUAUAUUUGAAAAGGGAUACCACACUUCCAGGAUAAUUCCCUCCAGCCUCCUCGUGAGCUAAGAUUUCCAAUUGGUCUAGAAUCCUGAAGAGAAAUCAGGGGCUGAUUACCUGGCCGGCUGGGCUGCAAUCACACCUUUCAAUACUAAUUAUCUGCUCUUUGAGUUCAAUGACAUUGAGCAUCCAGGCUCUGGCUGGGGUGAACCUUGUUCAGUGGUUUGCAUCAUUGGCUUAAGACAAUGAUUUGAAUGGACAAAGUACCCGCGCUGUGCCUUGAUAAGCAGGAAAUGAAUGCUUGUUUGCAAAUAAGAUUGGGAAAUGUGAUCAGCUUCUUGUUUGGCAUCUGUCUUUGGGUAACUAGCCUGAUAAUACUAAUGCAAAAAUAAUAUGUUAGAAGACAGCAGCAAGGGAACCUUUUUUUAUGACCCUCCCUCCCAACUUUCUGUACCUGAAGCAAAGGCAGAAGUAAAUGAAAUGUUGUUUUGUGUGUGUUUCAUCCCACUGAAAGUAUUCUAGCUUGAAUGUUUCUUCGUGGGUAUUCAGGGAAAUGGAUAAUGAUCUGAUAUAAUGCUUUUUCAGUGUUGGGAUUUAUUCAUAUACAUGGCUUUUUCUAGAUGCCUGUCUCUGUUCUCAGCCUUCUGUGACCCCUUCCCCCGGGAAGCCUUCCUUCACGGCAUAGAAUAAAAAUUUUACUUCUACUUUGAUGCAGUUUAAUCAGGAUUCAUCUUACAUAAACAGCUUUGGUGUGGAUUUGUUCAAGUAGCAUAUUGCUUGGUGACUGGAAUGCAUUAUCGGGCAGCUCAUGGAGGAUUAAGAUAUGGGUUGGGUGAAGAAGGGAGAGAGAUUAUAGGCCAGUUAUCUGUUGGAGCUGCCUGCAUUGGUGUCCAUCUUAAUGUAUCAUUUCUGAUGCAGGAGUACUGGGGACAAGGAGUAAAUGUUCAAGAAUGUUACUUUCAAAUCCUGACCUCUUGAUCAUAAAUUAGAGAAAGCUAGUGUCAUGAAUUUUGUCCCCCUAAAAGCUGUUGAAGUCCUAACCCCGAGUACCUCAGAAUGUGACCUUAUUUGGAAAUAGGGUGAUUGCAGAUGUAAUUACUUAAGAUGAGGUCAUACUGGACUAGGGUGGGCCCCCAAUCCAAUAGGAUUGGUAUCCUUUUUUUUUCUUUCCAAAGCCCCAGUACAUAGUCGUAUAUCGUAGUUGUAAGGUCUUCUAGUUCUCCAUGUGGGACACCGCCACAGCAUGGCUUGAUGAGUGAUGUGUGGGACCACACCCAGGACCCGAGCCGGCGAACCCCCGGCCACCAAGGCAGAGCAUGUGAACUUAACCACUACACCACCAGGCCAGCCCCAUGGUGGCCUUUUAAAAAGGACACAGACACAUAUGGAAGGAAGAUACAGGGAGGACACCAUGAGACACAGGAUUGGAUUGAUGCACCUCAAGCCAAGGACACCCGAGGCUACCAGAAGCUAGGAGAAUGACGUGGGACAGAUCCUUUCCUAGUGCACUCAGAGAGAGCAGGGCCCUGCUGAGACCAUGGUUUCAGACUUCUAGCCUCCAGAGCGGUGAGACAAUACAUUUUGUUGUUUUAAUCCACCCAGUGUGUGAUACUUUGUUACGGCAGCUCCAGGAGACUAAUACACCUAACUUCUACAGAUCCAAAUAAUUUGGAUGAGAAUAGCAGUGUCAGCCUACCCAAGCCAAAGAACACGUAUGUCCUUUCGUUUUCCAACUUGGGCAGUGGGAGGUUCCCAGGCUUCUUGGUCUGUUGCCGCUGGAGUCUCCGAAGUUCCUGGCCUGUCUUGGAGGCGUUUAAGUUUCAGGGGACUAAAUCAACUCUAAGGGUGCCUUGGGCCACAUUACUAACAGAGGUCAGGAUGCAACUGAGACAGCUGUUUGGUAUGAUGGACUUCCACUUGGGAUUCCUGCUUCAUCCUCUUAGCUUCACUCCCCUCACCCUGGAAGGGCAGCCAAGAGAAAAACAUUUAGGAACAGGGGCUCACUUAAUAGUCAAGUAUGGUUAAAGCCACAGGUGGUUUUACUGGAUUUUCUUACAUACUUGACCAAUCUCAGGGCCCUUUGAAAUAGGUUAGUGUGUUCUCCUUAGCUUUCUUCCCAUGAGACUUCCUCCAAAUAUAGCUGGAACCCAGGGCGAAGUGGAGACCCUCUGGGAGGAAAAUAGUGUACGUGCUUCACGUUCAUCUGUUUGUUACUAUCCUGAGAAGCUUUAGAUCUAUGAGGUCCUGAUGUAUUUCUUUGUCUACUUUCUUCUACUCUACGAUGGGAAGGACAGCCAGGGUGGAGAUUUCUCUUGCCCUGGCCCUUACUUUUUGCCAUGGUAGUGUUUAAAACCAUUGAACGAUAGAGUUAUAAGGACCUCCAGAGAUCAGUAUUAAAACUUUAUUUUUUCCUGCUUGAGAUGCUAAAGUCCGAAGAGGGAAUCAAACUUGCCCAAGGUGCUCUUGCUUUAAAGCGGACUUUGAAUCCACGUAUUCUAAAACUUGCUCUUCAUGUCACACCAUGGCCACAUUCCUCCCUCUUCUCUGGAAGCUUCAAGGCUGGCCCCAUGAUUUGACAAUGCUCAGUACUCUAUCUUCCUCACACACCCAUCCUCCUGCCACCAGACCACCUAAAGUCUAUUUCUUUGUGUGGCUUAUCCUCUCUCCUUGGGCUACUUUUAUCGGGAAGGAAAGGAGAAAAUUAAUAUUUGCUGGAUGCCUGCUCUUUGCCAUGCAUCGUGCUGAGUACUUUACCUGUGUUAUCAGAGGAGGGGACUGUGGCUCAAGGACAUAAAAGUCAUGCCCCAGAUCAUACAGCUAUUAAAAGGUAGAGCUCGAAUCCACAUUUCUUUGGGAAGGCUCUUUCUCCAGCUAGAGAAAGGGGACCACACCCGUGUUGCCAUGCUUGGGCAGAGGAAUCAGCAAAGAGAGGGUGAAAAUGGUCCCUCCUUGCUACAUUUCCAUUCUCUGCCACGUUCUUCCAGCUUGACUGUUUCUUGUUUCCAUGUCAACAAGAGCAUUUAGAUUCAGGAGCAGCAAUGCCUGCUAUCUGUAAAUGAGGUGAUUUAUUUUUUCCUGCUCCGAACCUUCCCAAGAUAAACAGAGCACUCUAUGGUGGUGGCACACGCAGAUUCCUCCAUUGCACACUUAUAGGUCCAGCAUCAGAGUCAAAGCAAAUCAACAAGUAUUUAGUGGGCACCCACGAUGACCAAGGCAAAAGGCGUGAUGUGUGAGCUCCUCUAUUUGAGUUGGUUACUAGCCUCAAGAGGGAUGACUCAGGUGCCGCUCGGCAAGUCAACAUGCCCAAAAUAAGGAUGUUCUAUGAAGAAACCAGCCCCUGGCCACCCCUCAAUUCACCUCCAAGCCUUUCCUGUCACGUCUCUCCACUCCCAGCCUAGUCCUGUUGCUACAGCCACAUCCUGCUCACUCCUUUUCAUGCUGUGGCCCAGGAUUUGCCUCACCUCCUCCUAAAAUGGCCUGCAUGAUGUAGUGGAAAGACUGGGUGCCUGGACUCCUGACUCCCUGACCCUCCUCUGUAACAGGAACCAGAUAGGGGAAAAAACCCUCCGGGACCUCAUUUUCUGUACUUGUAAAUAAAGGGGUUCUCCCAAAGGAAACGAAAACAGGGUAUUGAGGAGAUAUCUGCUCUCCUAUGUUUACUGCAGUAUUAUUCACAAUAGCCAAGAUAUAGAAACAACCUAAGUGUCAGCCAAUGGAUGAAUGACUAAAGAAGGCGUGGUGUAUACAUACAAUGAAAUAUUAUUCAGCCAUGAGAAAGAAGGAAAUCCUGCCAUGCCUGACAACGUGGAUGGACCUGGAGGCAUUAGGCUAAUUGAAAGACCUAUAGUGUAGGCUAUCACUUACAAGCAGAAUCUAAGAAAGCCAAACCUGUAAAAACAAAGUAAAAUGGUGGUUACCAGGGUCAGGGAGAGGAGAGGGAAGUUUAAAGGCACAAACUCUCAAUGAGUAGUAAAUAAGUCCUGGAGAUCUAAUCCACAGUAUAGUGAGUAUAGAGUAGAUUGUAUUAUAAUCAUCAAACUUGCUAAGAGACUAGAUCUUAAUUAUUCCCACCAUAAAAAAAAAAAUGAUAGUCAUGUGACAUGAUAGAGGUGCUAACAUUUGCUACCCUGGCCAUCAUAUUACAAUAUGUAAAUAUAUCAAAUCAAUAUGUUGCAUACCUUAAACUCACACAGUGUUAUAUGUCAAAUAUAUUUUAAUUAAAAAAAAACACACGUAAUAAUGGGGUACUACUUAAUAAUAAAACAAAUCUUUCUUCCUGUUCUAAAUCUUUAUCAUUUUUCUGUGCCAAUCGCUGUUCGAUCAAGACUUUAGCCAAAACUCUUUCUUUUAAUUUUUCCUAGGUCUGGUUCACUCUGAUCUUCAAAACUCUUGACUAAAUAGUUUUUGGACACUAUUUUAUGCUUUUUAAUAGGUUCCUAGAAUGGUUUCGUAAUUGUCUAUUUUGUUUUCUGAGCAAGACUGUUAGCGAUCGAGUGUAGAGUUGUGUCAUUUAUCUUUUCAUAAUCCCACACACUCCACAAAUCUGUAUUGUACGAAUAGAGCUUAAUUGUGAAUUCCUGUGUAUUAGCUUAUUGUUCAUAAUAUUUUUAGAUUCAGUCUGCUGUUAAAUUCUUCAGUGAUUUAGGUGCUUUUAUAAACACAGUCACACAUUUGUGCAGGUAAAGAAGAUCCCCAAGCAGAUGUGGGGAAAGUGUUAUAUAAUUGGUGUGGGAUGCUGGCCCCAAAUGAUAGACUACAACGAAGAGUUUGUGAUGUCUUUUCUGGCAACAGGACCAUUAGUUUCCUUGGCUUUUUGCACUUGGAUGACACAUCUUUCUGCCACUGAUGUUUAUUGUUGACAUGAGCUCAGUUGAUGAUAAAAUUGCCCACAGGGUCAGGGAUUCUGUGUUCUGCUGGCUGUUACUGAUCUCUCUCUUGAGCUAAUUAAGAGUGGACAAAGCAAGGACAGUUAUUCAUUAGUUAAACAGAUAUUGAUUGAGUCCUCAUCAAAUCCCAGGCACUGUGCUGACACGGUAAAGAGCAGCUCUCAAGGAGCUUCAAGUUUGAACAGGAAGACAAAGCAAAUAAGAAUUAUUAGAAAUUGUGACAAAUAUUUGAAGAAGGCAAAUGAAUGCCCAAGAUAGAGAAUAAUGGCAGCUGGGUGGUUGGAGGAUGACCUCAUUUCAUAGGGUGGUUGGGGAAAGGCUCUUUAGGAAGAUGACAUUUAAGCUGACGCCUGAAGGAUGAGGAGCACCAUUCAUGAGAAAGAGUGAAGAAAAGGGGAAGGAGGGAGAGCACAUUCAAAGGCCCUGAGGUGGGGAAGACCUUGGUACGUUGGAGGAACCCAAAAAAUGUUGACAAGUUUUCAAAUGUGGAGCCUGUGGCACGAGGCUAAGUAACUUUUUCAAGCCCACCCUGCUAGCAAGCGGAGAAUUCAAGUUUCUGCUCUUUCCCGCCCGCCAUGCUUCAAAGCUUGCAGUCUGCUGGGUAUGUGUCUCUGUGAGGAAGUCAGAAUGGAUCACCUGUCAGGCUGGGGAGGCUGGGGCUUGGCUGGCAGGAUGUGGAGUGUGUGUGUUUUCUGUUUAUUCUUCAAGUUUACUUCCCUGCAAAUACAUGCCUAACUGCCAUGCACCUUUCACAAGGAAGCCAACGCCAGCACUCCAUCGCUCAUGAGCAGUCCUGCAAAAACAAAUCCGUAUCCUCCAUGCAACCCGAGGUGCCAGCUAGUCAGGCCUGCACUGGCCGGGCAGCUCGGAGCUGAGGAACGGUCUGGUCCUCAGGCAGGGAGGGAAGAAAAACAAUUUCAAAUUCCAGGCGCCGAGGGCCUCUUACAGACGGCCAUUGUCGGGAGAAGGGAAAACUAAACCACGUACAGGAGCUGGUGGCGCCGCUGGGAAGGGGGGAGGAUGUUGAGGUUAGGGGCUGCUGCGCGGGGCGCGUGAGCGGUGGGAAGGUGGAUGGGUGAUCUGAAGACAGGGCACAAUGGUUUACUCAUGUGAGCGUGGGCAGCUCCCCUUUAAGAGCCUCAGUUUCCUCGUAUUUCCAAUUAUGAGGAGAGUAACAUCUGCCCUGCCUCCCUCAGGUUGGACACAGCAAUGAGGACAGGCUUAGGAAAAGGCAAAGUACUCUAGAUGUCAGGCAUUGCGAAAGGGGCUGCCUCCUCCUUUAACUGUGCUGUUGGUCAGACCCCAAGAAUGUCUUGGUGACUUUCAGCCUCCUGGGCAUGACCAUGUGAGAAGAGCCCUGGAGUUUCCUACUUCCGAAGAUGAGGAUGGUGGGUAGAUGCUCUUAGGAGUGAUCUAGGCUAGGUUAACCACCCCCUCCCCCCAACCCCCACCAGUGGCUUUGGUCACUGCAAAAUGCUACCAACUCAUCAAGUUUUAAAGCAGCAGCAGCGACCAUAGAGAGUGAAACAGGGUUAUUUUAACAUUUUGAUGAUGAUAAUGAUGAUGAUGAUGAUAAUGAUGGUGGUGACAGUUGUUGUGUAUUGAGUUGAUUGACUACUACUGCAUGCCUGGUGUCUUAGCUUGGGCUACUGUAACAAAAUACCGUAGACUGGGUAGCUUGUAAACAACAGAAAUUUCUUUCUUACAGUUCUGAAGACUGGAAGUUCAAGAUCAAGGCACGGGCAGAUUCAGUGUCUGAUGAGGGCCGGCUUCCUCAUAGACGGCUCUCUUCUCAUGGUAACCUCAUGUGGUGGAAGGGGUGAGCUAGCUCUCUGGGUGUCUUUUAUAAGAGUAUGAAUCCCAUUCAUGAAGGCCCUGCCUUCAUGACCUAAUACCUCCCAGAUGCCCCCCUAUCACAUUGGGGGUUAGGAUUCCAACAUAUGAAUUUUGGGGAGAUAUGAACACUCCAUCCAUUGCACCUUGCAUUGUAAAUAGCACUAACACUUCAUUCUUAUUAUCUCAUUUGAUCCUCACAACAACUCUGAGGCAGGUGCCGGCGUAGUCCCCACUUUACAGAUGAGGAGACUGAGGCACGAAGGAAUUGAUCAUUUGCCCAAGGUCAUACUGCUAGGAAAUGGCGGAGCUGAUGCUCAAAACCAUGUAUAUCUGACUUCGAAAAUGAUGCUCUACCAAUUAUAAAUGGGUCAUUUUUAAGAAAUAAAUCUUAAAAUUUGAGUAGUCAGUGGUCAUCUUUUUGAUAAACUUUAUAAGCGCAUAUAAACUAUAUUUAACAUUUAUUGGUUAAAAAUUAUUUACCAUAUGGGGUUGCUUGAUUUGUUGCUUUGCACAUUCUUUGGUCCUUGGAGCUUUUGGAGGAAUAAGGUAUUAAUAUAAUGCAAAAAGUCAGCUGAGGGCUGGUAUUAUUUAUUUUCUGUCCUAUGCUUUUUAGUCCAGGAAGAAUUUGGCAGAGAAAGGAAAGGUGGGGAAAGUAAAUUCCAAACAGAGGGAACAGAAUGGGCAAAACCCAAAGAUCAAGAGAAGACAUGGCUGGUUCUGGGAACUGCUAAUCAGUGAAGUGGCUGGACUUGGAGAAGGCUGGUGGGACUGUGGGUGGGGGGAGAGAGAAAGCUGGGAAAACAGGCUGGUGCCAAGUCAGAAAAGGCCUGAUACGCAAUGUUAAGGACUUUGGAAUUUCUCUAAGACCAAUGAAGGCUAUGAACUGACAGACAUGAUCCGAUUUGCAUUUUAGACUGAAAUGCUUGCUGUGACAGAUCACUUCCCGUGCCGCAAACCUAGUGGUUCCAUACUCCAGGGGCUUCCUCUGAAGGGUUAUGCCAUUUUCCUCUUUGGUGUCAGGGAAUCAAGCUAGCCACAGCCUUGGUGCAGCUCUGCUCCAACCCCAUGAGAACACGUGCUCCCUUCUGGGCUUUCAGUCCAGGGGUGUGCUCCCUCCUGUUGUUCAUUUACGGGAUGCUGAGGACAGGGGCUGAGUUUCAGGGCUUUCAGCCUCUUGGCUGUUAGUUAGCCUGUAUGCUGUGUUCUGAAGUAUGUUUAGCUGAAGCCACUUGGGCGCAGACACUGAUGAGAGGCUCUGAGUGAUUUUUCAGCUUAGCUAUGCCAUCCUGCACAUCAGGAAGGAAAAGGUUGAAAGGACCAUGGCAUCUCAGUACUUAAUGACAAAAUAGAAAUGCUGUUUCUUCGUCUCCUGCUGGUGCUUAGAUCCUUAAAUGUAGUCUCCACCACCAGCUGGGUGACAGGUGAACGGAGGUUUAAAAACUGGGCACGUUGGCCUUGAAGUGUGUCAAGUCGGCUGACCUCUCUCCUUGACUUUGCUUUUCCUUGAAGUCAAUGAUACCAGCUCCUUUUUGUUCAGUCCACUCCAUAGACUGCAGGGCAGUGUGGGAGACUGGAAGGGAGGUUUGUAGACCUGGGCUGGUUUUGACAUUGGGAGUGCUUGUUGCUUUUUCUGAUUCAAUUGUCCAAUUCAUUCAGAUCGCUAAACACAGAUUUCUUGAGGCUCAGUAGUGAAGGCCAACCAGUUGGAAUAGAACAUCCUAAGUAAUGACUGUGCCAGGAAGCAGAGCCAGAAAAUGCCUUCCUAGCUGCUUCAUAGGUUUCAGGUCUUCAGAAGGUGAAGGACUGUUGUUUGCAGGGUGGACCUUUGUCACCUGAAUGAAGCUUGGGAAACUUCACAGCUCUGUUUUGAACUCCCCUGUAAGAAGUCAGAGCAAACAUUGGAGGUCAAUGACUGAGUCAUGUCUUCAGUCCUUUCCAUGGGAGUCAAAUUCCACUGCCAGCUGUUUAACCAGGACCUGAGAAACGUGGAUGUGAACAUUUUGACAUCCAUUUUUGAAGGGUUAGCCCAUUGGAUGACCUACCACCACCUUUUGGCCAAAGGAAGAGGAGGAAGAAAUAUAAAUGGCAGAAUAUGUUGUGCUGUCUUUGAUCUAGUUAAAUGGCUUAACAGCCUCAGUGGCAUAUUUGAAAAUUGGUCACUAAAUAGUUCCAUAUUUCUCUUCCAUUUUAUUUUCUCACUUUGAACUUAUUUCUAGAUCUAAAUCUUAUCUGUGUUAGAAGUCACGAUUAACUUAGGGUGAGAGCAGUACGUUGUGAUUAAGCAAAGCUACAAAGGUGCAGUUCUGUACAGCAACAAAUACAUUUCAUACCUCUGGGCUUCAGUUCUCUUACAAACACAAUGGAGAAACGGUUAAAAAUGUGAAGACCUUGUGAAUAUCACUGUGGAUAUCAUCAUUCACACCUUAAACAUCAGUAAUCUGUAUUAGAAGGACAUGAUGACAGACAGACGCAUUUGUUCUUGUUAUUUCAGACUUUUCCUCACCUUUAGUUUGGUAGUUGUAUCAUUACUAAAAUGUGUUAAAACAUUUGGAGAUGUUGUAUGAGGCUGUGCGUCAGGUUCUGCAAAGACCCUCGCGUAGGUGAUCUUCAGUAAUGGGGAUGUAUUGCGAGGAUUGGUGUGGAUCUGGGGGAGCAAGGGACAUUAUCUCUUCCAUCACAGCGUCUGCCUGGAUCGUGGUAGCCCCAGGACUGUGAGGCAUAUCAAUCCUCGUGGAGAACUGCACUUCACAGACCUACCUACUCUUUGUCUGCCUAGUAGUUGUACUUCCUGAAAGAAAGGAUUGGAUUAGGCUGACAUGCCGUCAUCCUGCAAGGACAGUCUUAUUGGGCAGAAUUUAGGAACAAGGUGCCCCAGAGACAUAAAGCUUUCUGCGUGUCCAGUCCAUAUGUGGCUCUCUUUGACUUAUCGAUCAUCCCCUGGGACGAUCAGAUGUGGUUAGAGAGCAGGGUUAGUUUAUCCACACAACACGCCAGGCAUUAUAUCAUGAUAUGCAGGAAUGAACAAUUUUAGCCAUUUUCCUUAAAUGCGUGCAGACAAUUGGAGCACCCAGUGAUUUGGUACUCCUCUGGACGUCCCUUCCUCAUAUUGUUCUCAUCUUGUCCAAAGUCUUGGAGUAUAAUGUCAUUGGGAUUUACCAUUACACUUUGUUCCAGUGAUAAACUUUGGCCUUAUUGGGUGUAUCUAAAAGAGCUCUCUUUGUAUAACUUGUGUCUGGACAAACCUACAGAUAGACCAGGUGGAAGCCCAAGGAACCCCAGUAAGUCUGAAGAUUAGCUCUGAGAACCCCUGGUCUUGCUGUCACUGCAGAUUUUGUCCAGAGACCUGUGGGAAUCCCCACAUUUGCUAAAAUGUGAACGUUAAUCCUGCUGUUAUAUUGGCUCUGCUCUUCUCUUGCAUCACAUUUCCCUCGAGAGUUAUGUUUUCUGGAAACUUCAAUACACCAUAAUGCAUUUAAAAAUUUUUUACACUAGUUUUACUUCUUGUUUGUCCACUUCUUGCAGAGCCAGGACUGGGGUGAGGUGAGCGAUGCUGCCAGAGCGCAAAAUGUCAGGAGACGCUCAGUCUCAGGGUCAUAUGGGUGCACGGUUGAUACCCGAGGGUGAACACGUUGUUACAUUUUGUACCCUAGGUGCUUCCCUGCCUCACCCAAGCACUGGGCCUCAAUGAAAUAAUAAGUUUUCAUUAAUUUUUAAAAAUAACAAUAUUAACAAUAACUAGUACCUAUUGAGUGUUCCCCAUGUGGAGGAAGUGAUACUUACAUAUAUUUGUAAACUUUUGAAGCGGAUGCCAGUUGCGUCACCCCUGUUUUACAGACAAGGGAACUAAAAUGUGGAGAUGUUACAGUAAAUGUCCUGAGGCUCCUCAUCCAGGAGGUGCCAGAUCCAGGAGGUGAAUCUGGGUAAUCCGCUUUUCAACUCUUGAUCUCACAAUUUCUGCUCUCUACGUCUUCAAGGAUGCUUCUCUCUAUGUGACAAGUAGAAGAGUUCCACGGCUGGUUUUCUAACCAGCCAAGUCAUCGAUACUCCCUAAUGCCAGUCUAAUCAUAGCAUGUGGGAUUUGAAACUGUGAAUCGCUGAAGGUCAAGAGUUUCCAGGGUAGCUCUCCAUAAGAGAAAUUUCACAUAUCAAACCCCAGGACUGCUCAUUCUCGGCACGGUCUUUUAAGUGACUGAUCCUUGGACCAAUCCAUUGAUUGAUUCAUUCAACAAAUAUUUAUGAAGUCCCUCCUAUGUGUGGAUUCUGUUCUAGGUGCUGGGAACAUAGCUAUGAUUACAGAUUAAUGUCUUUGUCCUCAUAGAGCUUACGUUCUAGCAGAGGAGGCAGAUCGUAAGGAAAUAAACAAAUACAUGGUACAAUGCAGGAAGAAAAAUAAAGCAGAUCUGGAGGGUAGCGAGUGUUGGGCGGUGGAGGGUACAAUUUUAGAGUGGGCGGCCGGGAAUGCUCUCUCUGAGAAAGUGGCAUUCGAGUAGGAUCUUGAGUGACAUGAAGGAGAGAGGCAAAAUGCAAGCCUCAUAUAGAAGCAGCGUAGUUAUUUUGUGAAAUAAAUUCUUCCUACUGUGCGUUUGACUUUACAUUUAAAAAGCACAAGGUCAACAUGGACGACAGUGUAAUGACGAGAAUGUCACUCACCAAGGCCAGGCAUUAUGAGCUACUUUGUCUACUUGCUGUGGUUAAGAGGGAGGAGGUGGGGUAGAUGGUUCGUAUAACUAUUGGCUCCCUGGGCAUAAUCUUCCCACCAGGGAUUUGAGGUCUGUUGAGUGAUUCCCUCUUUGUUCCUCUGAAUUAAAUUAGAAUUGGGCAGUCUCCAUUUCAUGGUUUUGUUUUUCAGUCUCUGGUGGACCAGAGCAUCAGCCAAUUUUCGUUUGUGUUGAUUCACUUGGAGGAAAAAGCUGUGACAGAAGCAGCCUGAUGUGUGUGAAAUAUAACCAUUCCUGGUCGGUUGGUGCACACUCUGUUUCCACCAGCCUUUCCUUUCCGUGGAGCAGCGUUUUCAGGUCUCUGAUUUUGAAAGUUGCCCAACACAGUAGUACUCACACAGUGGAUUUGUAGGUCCUCCAUAGGGCUGGGUGAGGACCAGAGCUGCCAAGACAGUAUCACGUGUAAUUGACCAGGCAGGCAGAUAUGUAUUAGGUGAGGCUCCAACUCUGUGAAGAUCUAGAAGGUAAUGGGCACUUUUGCUUGAAGACAGGGACUGAUGUGGGCAGCAUCUUUGGUCUCUUCCAGCCGGAGACUCAGAGGAAGUUUACAUCCAAAAGUGUGGUCUGGGUGAGUGUGACCGUGAGUGACGGUAGAUGCGCCCAGGACAACUUUGGCUGGAGGCAACAUUUGAACUCUGCUCGGAGCCAAAUUUUAAGUUUUGGCAAAAACACAUUUUGUAACCCAAAACUUCUCUUCCUGCUUUACCCUGAUUAGUUGUUAGUUGAAAAUCCUCAGCACCUCGGCUCUGUCUGCCCUCCCUCACAUUCCCUUCCUCCCACAACCGCCAACUGCCAAGCCCAAGGCUGUGCCCAGAGCAGACGUGUCUAAGUUGUAGGAAGGUAGAUGCGAGGAAAGCAGAGGCAGGAGGGAAGGAAGAAAGAAGACAUUCCUAGCCCAUUCCAGUUCUAGGCUUGGAGGUGCUGUUCUACAGCACGCGGUGCAAGCUUCAGGUGUUAGAACGGUCACGUGCAAAUUUGAUCUUCCACGGAAAGCACUGUGUAAGCUCGGACAAAUGACUUAAGCUUUCUGAGUCUCGCAUUUUCCUCAUCUAUAAAGAAAUAAUGUGAGGGGUCAUUUCAGUGAAGUAACUUCAGUCAAACGAUGCGGCUAAACUGUUUCGCAACUUGCCUAACACGUCAUGAGCAAGCAAGUGGAGAGUCAUUUCAUUAUUGCUUUAUUUAGACACUGGGCCCCCCUUUUCAGGGGUGGCAUUGCCCAGCUUGGGGCAAAGUUGCGCCCGCGUAUCCCAGGUCCGCAAAGUCUGUGACUUUAUGUAGCUAAGAGGUUUGAACAACCCUAACACUUCUCAGGAUACGAGGACUUCACGGAGGUUCAGAUGCCAACAAAGCCAUUGGAAGCUGUGAUGGCUAACUUUGUGUGUCACCUUGGCAAAGCUAUAGCAUUUCAUCAAACAUUAGCUAUUUCAUCAAACAUUAAUCUAAAUAUUGCUGAGAAGAUAUUUUCUAGGUGUGGUUGACAUUUACAACUUGUUGGCUUUAAGUAAAGGAGAUUACCUCAAUAAUGUGGGUGGGCCUCAUUCAAUCAGUUGAAGGACUUGGGAACAAAAACUAAGGUUUCCUAGAAAAGAAGAACUUCUGCUUCUAGACUGCAGAAUCAAUCCACACCUGAGUUUCUAGCUUGCUGGCCUGCCCUAUGGAUUUUGGAUUUUCUAGUCCCCGUAAUCACAUGAGGCAAUUUCUGAAAAUAAAUAAAUUUCUUUGUAUAUAUAUAUGUGUGUGUGUCUAUACACAUACGUAUAUGUAUUAUAAAGCCAUAUAUUUAUACAUUUUCAUAUAAAAUAUAUUAAAACAUAUAUUUAAAAAUCUAUAUAAAAUGUAUAAAAAUAUAAACUUUAAAUAUAUAAAAUUUAUUUAUACAUAAAAUGUCCUAUUCGUUCUGUUUCUCUACAGAACCCUGACUGACAUAGAAACCCAAGAAUUAAACACGUAUUUAGACAAUUUUUAGCAAGAAUCUUUUUUCAGCUCAUCUAUUAUAGGAAUCCAGACUUGAGUUCUUAAUGAAAACAAAAAAAAAGGCUGAAGGCAGGAGCUUCUGGCUCGGUGGGGACCCGUGUGGGAAAGGAUUUCCUAAUCUUAACCUGAAAAGGGAAUUUCAGGGUGGAAUGGACAGCAUCCCAAACCCCAGCCCCGUGCUCCGUCCCGGCCCCAAAAGCCUCAGGGAGAAGUAAACAAUUUGGGUGGGGCUUUGUCGGCUUCACGGCUUAGCGUUCUGGGCCUUUCCCCCAAGCUCGGUCAUGGUGGUUUGUUUAAAAUUAGUUCUUGUUUGCCCUGUGGGGAAGAGAGAAUUGCAAAGUCUGGGAUUUACUCGGAGCCUUUUGCAUUUCAGGUUCUGAGGCUGGAUCCCUUGUCUAUUUUAAAAGUGGAGAGACGUGGGCCCAAGACUGCCAUGUGACCAAACCUCCAUCCUCAUGCUCAGAACUGGCUAGAAGCCUAAACUGAGUCAGAGGCUGUCACCCUGGUCCAAUCUGGGAAGAAUCUCCCCUGUCCCAAAUAGAGCUCCCUACGUCCCCUGCUGAGAUGCUCCAAUCUUUCGGGAGAGUUGUCCCUUUCAAGAAUGACCUGUAAGCAGCUGCCCCAUUGCAAAAGUGUCAUCUCAAUGCCGUCAUCGACCAUGAGCACACACUGCCAUUUAAUUUCACCUUUAGGAUUACCUGGCACUUCCUCAAGCAAAGUCACCUUGGAACAAGACACGGGAGGGUCCAGCCUUGAAGGCAUUGUAUCCAUGACAUCCACCGGAGGAGCUAAAGAAAACAUCCACAGAUCACUCUCUGCCCUUGUCCACUUUGUUCUUGGAAGGACAUCAGUGGGUUCCCUUGCCCUCUGGCUUCUGGUUGGAUUCACCCAAUGGAGAGCCCUGGCAGGAGAUUGGAAGAAGAGAGGAUAGUAAGACGGACAAGCCCGGCUGGCUGUGGAGUAGAGGGAAACACCUCUUUUAUCAAAAUUGGCUUCAAAAGAUGUCUAUCUCCCGUUUCUGGUGAAAAGCAUCCAUUUCUUGGAGAAAUGCCACUGUGGGAUUGCAAGUCCCAGGACCAGGACUUCUAUGUGUCUCUUUUUCCAGCGAAGUGGCUAAAGGUCUGGAGCUGAAGUUGCAAAUGCCAUAGUGUCCUUGAAUCUCAAGUCUGGACUGAAAAAAGUUCUUAAAGGUCCCCUGGUUCAACCUUCUACUUAACGUGGAAAUCCUUUCUACCACAUCCCUGCAUGGGAAUCACAGGUCUCUGUACCUGUCUAGCAUAGUCCACUUGGGGGGUUAUUCUCCUAAUUAAAACGUCUUUCUCUUACUAAACGGGAAAUUACCUCCAAUUUCUAUUCACCCCAUAUUUCUUCAGUUCCUACUAUGUGCCAGGCAUGCUGCUAGGCCCAUGAGAUAUAAAGUUGGAUAAAUCCCAGGAUUUGCCUUUAAGGGGUUCAGAGUGGAGCAAUGGAAAUGGUCACAGAGUAUGACGCACAAAGUUCCUGGGGGACAUGGGGGAAGAAUGCUGAGUUCUGCUAGUGGAGGUGGGAGAAGGCUUUGUAGAUGAUGGGACCUCAGAACCGAGCUUGGAGAAGUAGGGUUGGAUUUCACUAGGAACAUAUGGACAUUAGCAAUAUAACUCUCCAGCGAACCAGGAGAAGCAGGGCCUGGGCAGCGUUGAAUUCAAGAAAUAUUGGGAGGUGGGACCACAGGCCUUAGUGAUUGUUGUAUCUGGAGGGUGACAGAGAACAUUGUUGCAAAUUCUGCAGUUCCCUGAACUCAGUUCCCCUGCUGCCCUAGGAGUCUUCUCUUCUCUGGCACUCAGUUAGUUUACCACAGACCACAUGCUUUCCAGAACCUGCAACAUUCUCAUCACCUCUCUUAAAACACAGUGGUUUUUUGGGGCCUCUCUUAGAUGUGGUCACCAGACUCAAACACAUCUACCAAAAGAUACAUAACCAGGGGAGAAUACAGUAUCUUUUUAAGCGAACAGGACUUUUCUUCUCCUCUCAAUUCCAUGUCCCAUCAUUCCCUUCCCUCAUGCCCAGGGGAGGACCUUUCCCCUUCCUAAGUCUCAAUUUGUUUAUCAGCACCAUCUAGUCAAUAGAGCACACGAUCACUUAAACGAAAAGUGAAUAAAACUGGGUUUUGAACAUUCAUUUGUUCAGUCAGUAAGAAUUUCUGAUAUUUAUAACGCGCAGGGCAUUAUGAGCAUUGUAAUUAAAUACCUCCUACGCACCAGACACACUUGCUGUAAUGAUGGGUAAAUUUCAGGAUUUGCCUUUAACAAGUUCAGUCUAAAUAUCUAAAUAUCUAAAAAGAUGUUUAAAACAAGUUUUUUACCAACAAAUGACUUAUAGUCUAGAAGGCAAGGACUGCCAGCCAGCCAGACUUUCAUUCGUGUUGUAAUAAUACAUGACAUGCAUUGAAUUCUUCUAAGCGCUUGACAUGAAUCAACUCACUCCAUCCUCAUAAUAACACUAUGAGGCUGGUAGAUACUCUUACCAAGAUUUUCAUUUCACAGAGGAGGAAACUGAGGCACAGUAGCUCAAGGUCACACAACUAAAAAUAAGGGAACCAGGAUUCAAAUGCAAGAAUUUUGCCUCCCGAGUCUGCACCCUUUACCAGCAUGUUGCAUAAUCUCUUACAAAUAACUAAGAUAUAAAUUAGAAAGAGAGAAAUGUCACGAGAAAGAAAGCGAGGAGAAGGUGGCCCUUUUUGAUUGCUUUGUAAAUGAUUCAUCCCCACUGUGGGCUUCUCUCUGUGUGCUUCCUGGUAUGGGGGAGGGAGGGCAUAACCGCCUUUCCUUGUGCAUCUCUUUGCUGCCACCUGUAAUUUACAGCGGGGGCACAGAGGAGGGCCUCACACCCAACUGGACCUUGGUGUUAAAGUGAUAAUGUUUUAUGCUUUUGCUUUUAGCAGGUGACAAUAAAAAAUCAAUGGAUUAUAAUUACAGGACCUUGAAGUUUAGCGUUGCCCCAGAUGGUAAUGAAAAUUCAUUUAUGGUAUGACAACCACAGAUUAGCAAUUUCUCUCUCCUCAAAUAGCAGGGCGGUUUAUGAUGCUGCUGGUUUGCUACCUCUUACAGAAGGCACCAGAUCGUGUGCCAGGUUGCCCCAGUGAGUAAUAGUCUGGUUUUAUUGUAUGGGAUAAAUCAGUCACAUAGACGUCUUGCGUUGGCUUAAUGAGGCUAAACCAGCAAGCGCCAAGCUUGGGAAACAGUUGUUGGUCAACAGCCUUGAGUGCUGACAGAGGGCCCUGGAAGGGCUGAAUUUGGAGUGACUACUCAGCAGCUUGCUUGCAGGUGGGCGGGAAGAAUCUGGGGUCUGGUUUGAGAACUGGCUUUCAAGAAGGCCGAGUUCUAAAAUACAGGGAGCUUUUGCGCAUGACAUCAGUAAUAAAUGAAACAAAC
rnacentral:lncRNA from 1 species